UACGUAGGGGGCAAGCGUUAUCCGGAUUUACUGGGUGUAAAGGGAGCGCAGACGGUGGUACAAGUCUGAAGUGAAAUCCCUCGGCUCAACUGAGGAAUUGCUUUGGAAACUAUACGACUUGAGUGCUGGAGAGGUAAGCGGAAUUCCUGGUGUAGCGGUGAAAUGCGUAGAUAUCAGGAAGAACAUCAGUGGCGAAGGCGGCUUACUGGACAGUAACUGACGUUGAGGCUCGAAAGCGUGGGGAGCAAAC
rnacentral:rRNA from 1 species